AUGGGGAGGAAGCCAUGCUGCGCCAAGGAGGGCCUGAACAGAGGGGCAUGGACGGCAAUGGAGGACGAGAUCCUGGUCUCCUACAUCAACGAUCACGGCGAGGGCAAGUGGGGAAGCCUUCCCAAACGAGCUGGGCUGAAUCGGUGCGGAAAGAGCUGCCGGCUGCGGUGGCUCAACUACCUCCGGCCGGGGAUCAAGAGAGGCAACAUCUCCGACGACGAAGAGGAGCUCAUCGUCAGGCUCCACAGGCUCCUAGGCAACAGGUGGUCGCUGAUCGCGGGGCGGCUGCCGGGGCGAACAGACAAUGAGAUCAAGAACUACUGGAACACCACGCUGAGCAAGAGGAACCUGCAGUCUCACGGCGCCGGCUGCUCCAACCACCCACAGGCCAAGCCGCCGGCGGCGAGGCGCACGCCCUGCCCGAGGGCACGAGCAGCAGCCCGAUACGGACCAAGGCGCUGCGGUGCACCACCACGGUGCUGGCGGCAGCAGAGGGGGUUCACGAGCAGGGCCGUGCGGCGCCGGAGCACGUCGCGGAGGAGGAUCAGCUGGGUGACUGCCUGUCCAUCGGCUCGAUCGACCUCGAUCUGGAGGGCAUCGAGCUGGGCUUCAUGA
rnacentral:rRNA from 1 species